rnacentral:rRNA from 1 species
CUGCUCAGAACGAACGCUGGCGGCGUGCCUAAUACCAUGCAAGUCGAGCGGACAGAUGGGAGCUUGCUCCUGAUGUGAGCGGCGGACGGGUGAGUAACACGUGGGUAACCUGCCUGUAAGACUGGGAUAACUCCGGGAAACCGGGGCUAAUACCGGAUGGUUGUCUGAACCGCAUGGUUCAGACAUAAAAGGUGGCUUCGGCUACCACUUACAGAUGGACCCGCGGCGCAUUAGCUAGUUGGUGAGGUAACGGCUCACCAAGGCGACGAUGCGUAGCCGACCUGAGAGGGUGAUCGGCCACACUGGGACUGAGACACGGCCCAGACUCCUACGGGAGGCAGCAGUAGGGAAUCUUCCGCAAUGGACGAAAGUCUGACGGAGCAACGCCGCGUGAGUGAUGAAGGUUUUCGGAUCGUAAAGCUCUGUUGUUAGGGAAGAACAAGUGCCGUUCAAAUAGGGCGGCACCUUGACGGUACCUAACCAGAAAGCCACGGCUAACUACGUGCCAGCAGCCGCGGUAAUACGUAGGUGGCAAGCGUUGUCCGGAAUUAUUGGGCGUAAAGGGCUCGCAGGCGGUUUCUUAAGUCUGAUGUGAAAGCCCCCGGCUCAACCGGGGAGGGUCAUUGGAAACUGGGGAACUUGAGUGCAGAAGAGGAGAGUGGAAUUCCACGUGUAGCGGUGAAAUGCGUAGAGAUGUGGAGGAACACCAGUGGCGAAGGCGACUCUCUGGUCUGUAACUGACGCUGAGGAGCGAAAGCGUGGGGAGCGAACAGGAUUAGAUACCCUGGUAGUCCACGCCGUAAACGAUGAGUGCUAAGUGUUAGGGGGUUUCCGCCCCUUAGUGCUGCAGCUAACGC